rnacentral:rRNA from 1 species
CGGACAGGUGAGUAAUGUCUGGGAAACUGCCCGAUGGAGGGGGAUAACUACUGGAAACGGUAGCUAAUACCGCAUAACGUCGCAAGACCAAAGAGGGGGACCUUCGGGCCUCUUGCCAUCGGAUGUGCCCAGAUGGGAUUAGCUAGUAGGUGGGGUAGCGGCUCACCUAGGCGACGAUCCCUAGCUGGUCUGAGAGGAUGACCAGCCACACUGGAACUGAGACACGGUCCAG